AUUGAACGCUGGCGGCAGGCCUAACACAUGCAAGUCGAGCGGUAACAGGAAAGCGCUUGCGCUUUUGCUGACGAGCGGCGGACGGGUGAGUAAUGUCUGGGGAUCUGCCCGAGGGCGGGGGAUAACCACUGGAAACGGUGGCUAAUACCGCAUAAUGUCGCGAGACCAAAGUGGGGGACCUGAAAGGGCCUCACGCCAUCGGAUGAACCCAGAUGGGAUUAGCUGGUAGGUAGGGUAAUGGCCUACCUAGGCGACGAUCCCUAGCUGGUCUGAGAGGAUGACCAGCCACACUGGGACUGAGACACGGCCCAGACUCCUACGGGAGGCAGCAGUGGGGAAUAUUGCACAAUGGGCGCAAGCCUGAUGCAGCCAUGCCGCGUGUAUGAAGAAGGCCUUCGGGUUGUAAAGUACUUUCAGCGGGGAGGAAGGGUGUAGCCUG
rnacentral:rRNA from 1 species